rnacentral:rRNA from 1 species
GGGAAUCUUCCACAAUGGGCGAAAGCCUGAUGGAGCAACGCCGCGUGGGUGAAGAAGGUCUUCGGAUCGUAAAACUCUGUUGUUAGAGAAGAACAAGGACGUUAGUAACUGAACGUCCCCUGACGGUAUCUAACCAGAAAGCCACGGCUAACUACGUGCCAGCAGCCGCGGUAAUACGUAGGUGGCAAGCGUUGUCCGGAUUUAUUGGGCGUAAAGCGAGCUCAGGCGGUUUCUUAAGUCAGAGGUGAAAGGCUACGGCUCAACCGUAGUAAGCCUUUGAAACUGGGAGACUUGAGUGCAGAAGAGGAGAGUGGAACUCCAUGUGUAGCGGUGAAAUGCGUAGAUAUAUGGAAGAACACCAGUGGCGAAAGCGGCUCUCUGGUCUGUAACUGACGCUGAGGUUCGAAAGCGUGGGUAGCA